GUCCCCUCCACCGCCGCGCACCCCGUCUCGCAGCUGGCGCGGUGUUUGCUGGUGACAUGAACUCAACCAGCCUCCAGCAUCUGGGGAUCGGGGCGACAUCGUUGGUCUGGUUUGCAAGAGGACCCGCACGCCUCCAGCUGGGGCGGAAUUGGAAGAUUCAGAAAGGAAAGCUGGGGAGGCGGGGAAGGAAGGGUGCAAAAGUGACACUGUGCUAGGGUCUCCAGGGCCGCGGAGCUCGGGGACAGGCGGCGCCUUCCGAGCUGCACAAACGCGUGGGGCGGGGCGUCUCUGGAUCCGGAAGUUGCCUCUGCCCUCACCAAAGAUGGCGGCCCCGGCGCCGCUCGCCCACCUCUCGUAACCAAUGGAACCGCGGCGCUCGGCCGAUUCUCGCGGGCGCCCUCAGAUCUACGCUCUCUGAUGCAACGCCGGAAUCGGGGAAACCGCCGGUGCACGUUGGAGUCAUAAGACGGCGUCGGUGUUGCAGUCUGUGUCCUUGGAGGUGACCAGGGCCACUGCAGGCAUGGUGCUAGAGCUGUACGUCUCUGACCGAGAGGGAAGCGAUGCCACGGGAGAUGGAACCAAGGAGAAACCAUUUAAAACAGGUCUAAAGGCUUUGAUGACAGUAGGGAAAGAACCAUUUCCUACCAUUUACGUGGAUUCACAAAAAGAAAAUGAGAGGUGGAAUGUUAUUUCUAAAUCACAGUUGAAGAACAUUAAAAAGAUGUGGCAUAGGGAACAAAUGAAGAAUGAAUCCCGGGAAAAGAAAGAGGCAGAAGAUAGUUUACGAAGAGAAAAGAACCUGGAAGAAGCAAAGAAGAUUACCAUUAAAAACGAUCCAAGUCUCCCAGAGCCAAAAUGUGUGAAGAUUAGUGCGUUAGAAGGAUAUAGAGGCCAAAGAGUAAAGGUGUUUGGCUGGGUCCACAGGCUGCGCAGGCAAGGAAAGAAUUUAAUGUUUCUGGUGUUGCGAGAUGGUACAGGUUAUCUUCAGUGUGUCUUGGCGGACGAGUUGUGUCAGUGCUACAAUGGAGUUCUCUUGUCCACGGAGAGCAGUGUUGCAGUGUAUGGAAUGCUAAAUCUUACCCCAAAGGGCAAGCAGGCUCCAGGUGGCCAUGAGCUGAGUUGUGACUUCUGGGAACUAAUUGGGUUGGCCCCUGCUGGAGGAGCUGACAACCUGAUCAAUGAGGAGUCUGACGUUGACGUCCAGCUCAACAACAGACACAUGAUGAUCCGAGGAGAAAACAUGUCCAAAAUCCUAAAAGCACGAUCCAUGGUCACCAGAUGCUUUAGAGAUCACUUCUUUGAUAGGGGGUACUAUGAAGUUACUCCUCCAACAUUAGUGCAAACACAAGUAGAAGGUGGUGCCACACUCUUCAAGCUUGACUAUUUUGGGGAAGAGGCAUUUUUGACUCAGUCCUCUCAGCUGUACUUGGAGACCUGCCUCCCAGCCCUGGGAGAUGUUUUUUGUAUUGCUCAGUCAUACCGGGCAGAGCAGUCCAGAACACGAAGGCACCUGGCUGAGUACACUCACGUGGAAGCUGAGUGUCCUUUCCUGACCUUUGACGACCUCCUGAACCGGUUGGAGGACUUGGUUUGUGAUGUGGUAGAUCGAAUAUUGAAGUCACCUGCAGGGAGCAUAGUGCAUGAGCUCAACCCGAACUUUCAGCCCCCCAAACGGCCUUUCAAACGGAUGAACUAUUCAGAUGCUAUUGUUUGGCUAAAAGAACAUGAUGUAAAGAAAGAAGAUGGAACUUUCUAUGAAUUUGGAGAAAACCCCGCUGUGUAAAGCAGAUGCAAACUGAGAGACUAGAGCUCUCCCACUCAUCUCCUGUUACCUCUCAGCGUCUCCGAGGUCGCAAGAGCUCCAGAGCCUGGAGCUUGAAAACAGGUGUGCUAGGUGAUUGCUACCUCCAUUUCACUUCUUCAUUAAACAAAUCUGUGAGUCUUCUCCAGUUCUCUCAAUCCAUUUUUACUGGGACAAGAGUUGUCAGUUUUAACUUACGUGUUAACUUUAAUUUAUGUGUGGUAUAGAAGGAUGUUUUGAGAGAGAAACUGAUGCACUUAAGUCAUCAUCUAAUAUUGGGUAACUAUUCCAGGUGUGCUUACACUUACCAGUUUGACAUUGGUUAUUUGUUUUAUGAUUGCGUCUGUCAUCGAAGGCAUAACUGAUUGAUUACAACAGGAAAGAAGGGCAGAUAACAGGAGAGUUUAAAGAUAAGUGUCAUUAGUAAUAUACUCUGUGUGUAGAUCAAUGAUGUUCUGGAGCAUUCAUGAUUACCGUAUGCCUUACGGGACUAAGUGGACCUCAUUUGCUUCAGAGCUAGACAAAACAGGCCACUGAGAAAAAUACUGAGCUGUGUCUAGUCACAGCUUGGGGCUGGCUUUUGUUUUUUUUUUUUUUUUUUUUUUUUUUCCUUCAUCAAACAGCAUGGUGCUUGAGAUAUGCUGUAAAGGGAGACAGAUCUUUUAUGCUUCAUUAAAUAACUGAGUUUUAAGAAUAUGUUUAUUUCUUUUUGAAAGAAAUUAUUCUUUACACAAAUGUGUAUGGGUUAAGGGUAGGUGUGUAUCCUCUACUCUGUUGAAUUGAUAGGAGGAAGGACUGGUACAGGGUGAAGGAGCUGCUUCUGUCUUGUUGCGAUCCAAGUUGUAAAUGUUAAUGAAGUCUUGUUUGACCUCAGGAUAUCCCAGAAGCUCCUGAGAGACUGAUGACAGACACCAUUAAUGAACCAAUCUUGCUGUGUCGAUUUCCUGUGGAGAUCAAGUCCUUCUACAUGCAGCGAUGUCCUGAGGAUUCCCGUCUUACUGAAUCUGUCGACGUGUUGAUGCCCAAUGUUGGUGAGAUUGUGGGAGGCUCAAUGCGUAUCUUCAAUAGUGAAGAAAUACUGGCAGGUUAUAAAAGGGAAGGGAUUGACCCCACUCCCUAUUACUGGUAUACGGAUCAGAGAAAAUACGGUACAUGUCCCCAUGGAGGAUAUGGCUUGGGCUUGGAACGAUUCUUAACGUGGAUUCUGAAUAGGUAUCACAUCCGAGACGUGUGCUUAUACCCUCGAUUUGUCCAGCGCUGCACGCCAUAACCAUUUUCUCCAGAAGCGUGGAGGAAAGAUUAUGAAAGGAACAGGCUCUUUAAAAAAGAAAACAAAGAGCCAGAAUCUUCCUUUUUUUGUUUCAUUGGGGUUUUCUCUUUCUGUUUUUCUUUCUACUACCAUAAAAACUAUCUCAAAUCACCUGAACAUCGAGUGAUACUAAGGUUGUCAUCUUAAGAAAAAAUAUCCAUUUUUUUCUUAAGUUCGGGGAACAAAGUUCGGGGAAAAUACCUGGCAUGAAACUGUAGUUAGGGAUACAUUUCAGCAUUUUACUCACUUUAUCCAAGUUAUUCAUUUUAUUCAAGUUAUAUGUAUGUAUAAUUCAACAAUUUUAGAUUAUGGUGUAAGAUACUCCAGUAACUUACCUUUCUGUCCUUUUAAGUGUACCUGGAAUUCUUUGAUUUAUUUUAUUGCAUCAAUGAAUUAAAACAAAAAUCUUGGGGGAAGAAAUUGGCAAUAUCGUAUAAAAAUCUGCUCAUAUUAGAACACAGUAUAAUUCAGCAGUAGACACUAGAAUCAAAUGAAUAGCCUUUUGUAUCAGUUAUUAAUCUUUUCUAACUCUGCUUAGCUGCUAAUAAUCCUGAGGCAUAGAAAUUGAAGAAUUUGUAAAAAUAGAAUUGCCUUAAAGGAUUUGAAGUAAGAACAUAAUUUUGGGGAGAGUUUUUUAGUGAUUCACAAUAUCCCUCUUAGCAUUAAUUUAAGGUAAAGAGGCAGAUUGAUGUUCCCUCUUUCCUGGUAGUUCCUAAGUAAUUAAGAAUAAAUAAGUUCCAAAAGAAAUUGUAGCUGGAAUCUUAAUAACAAUUGUGAGUGGCUGUUUGAGUUGCCCCCACCAUGUCCUUAGAUCUAAUCUGUGCUACCUUAUUAACUCACAGCAGGCUUACUGAAUGGCUUCAUUUCAGAUUUAGUUGAUUUCUCCACCAAUUGCAUGUCAUGUAUUCUCAAUAGGCCGUAUUCCCAGCAGUCAAUAAAUGAACACCCGUAAAAACUC